UUUCCCUCUUAUUUCAAGUCUGCAUAGAAGAGGAGCGAAGCGAGAGAGGACGGACCAUCUCCGGCUGCGUGGGAAUGUCGCUGUAGUCGAGAAAAGUACAUGUCUUUUAGCUUUUACGAUAUAUUUAGUCUUUUCUUUAAUGUCCUCGUUUUCGACUUUCUCUCGCAUUUUGACCACCUACUGCCUUGCUAGUGCUGGUGCCUCCACUUCAGCCGAGGAAAAAGCCCCGCUCUCAACGCUGUUAGGCGGUGUUAACAGGUAAUGCACACCGCUAGUGUUGCGGUUUGCUACCUUGUUAUGUUUGAAGCUGCAACUUAAUUGAAUGCUUUUAGACAGAAAAUGGCUCGUGGUUGUUGCAUUUUUGAGAUGAAGCCGUUUGAGAACUGUAUCAUGUUUCAUCCAAUAAAAUACUGAAUGGUCGUGGGGGGGGAAAAGCA